CCUACGGGGUGCAGCAGUGGGGAAUUUUGGACAAUGGGCGCAAGCCUGAUCCAGCCAUUCCGCGUGAGUGAAGAAGGCCUUCGGGUUGUAAAGCUCUUUCGCAAGGGAAGAAAACUUAUCCUCUAACAUAGGAUGAGGUUGACGGUACCUUGAUAAGAAGCACCGGCUAACUACGUGCCAGCAGCCGCGGUAAUACGUAGGGUGCGAGCGUUGAUCGGAAUUACUGGAGGUAAAGCGGGAAGACGGAGGUGAAAUCCCCGAGCUCAACUUGGGAACUGCGUUUGAAACUACAAGACUAGAAUAGGUCAGAGGGGGGUAGAAUUCCACGUGUAGCAGUGAAAUGCGUAGAGAUGUGGAGGAAUAUCAAUGGCGAAGGCAGCCCCCUGGGAUCAUAUUGACGCUCAUGCACGAAAGCGUGGGGAGCAAACAGGAUUAGAUACCCGUGUAGUC
rnacentral:rRNA from 1 species